GCAAAUACUUCCCUGACACCUGUUCGACGUGCUCGUGCAAAAUCAACUAUUGGUAACAAUGCUGCUGUCAUAAAUACCACUCCAACACCCGCUCGACGUGCACGUGCAAAAUCAAUUGCUGAACGCAACGUUGAUUCAGGACCCGUCAAUACAACUACAAUUCCUGCCAAGAGAAAUGUUCGUGCCUUAUCAUUAAAUGCUUCAAUUGGAACAGCAUCAGGUUAUUACCCCACCAACUCUUUGCCUUGGUUGCCAAGAAAGAUUUCUUUCACUUCAUCGGAUAACAGUUUGCGUGCACCGAUUCCUACUACUACUGCUAAGCAGCUUCCUCAACUAUUGCCAAUUGAAAAGCCAUCUUCACAAUAGCCACCACUUCAAAUCAUUCAAAUGCAAGGAACUGGCAGUCAACAAACUGCUCCAACAACGACA